rnacentral:rRNA from 1 species
GACGAACGCUGGCGGCGUGCUUAACACAUGCAAGUCGAACGCUGAAGCUCAGCUUUUGUUGGGUGGAUGAGUGGCGAACGGGUGAGUAACACGUGAGUAACCUGCCCCCUUCUUUGGGAUAACGCCCGGAAACGGGUGCUAAUACUGGAUAUUCACUGGUCUUCGCAUGGGGGUUGGUGGAAAGGGUUUUUCUGGUGGGGGAUGGGCUCGCGGCCUAUCAGCUUGUUGGUGGGGUGAUGGCCUACCAAGGCUUUGACGGGUAGCCGGCCUGAGAGGGUGACCGGGAACAGAGGGACUGGGAUACGGCCUAGAGUACUACGGGGGGCAGCAGUGGGGAAUAUUGCACAAUGGGCGAAAGACUGAUGCAGCGUCGGUGCGUGAGGGAUGGGGGCCUUCGGGUUGUGAACCUCUUUCGCACAUGGUCAAGCCGCAACAAUGGUUGUGGUGAGGGUAGUGAGUAAAGAAGCGCCGGCUAACUACGUG